UACGUAGGGUGCAAGCGUUAAUCGGAAUUACUGGGCGUAAAGCGUGCGCAGGCGGUUAUGUAAGACAGUUGUGAAAUCCCCCGGGCUCAACCUGGGAAUUGCAUCUGUGACUGCAUAGCUAGAGUACGGUAGAGGGGGAUGGAAUUCCGCGUGUAGGCAGUGAAAUGCGUAGAUAUGACGGAGGAACACCGAUGGCGAAGGCAAUUCCCUGGACCUGUACUCGACGCUCAU
rnacentral:rRNA from 1 species